CCUACGGGCGGCAGCAGUGGGGAAUCUUGGGCAAUGGAGGAAACUCUGACCCAGCAACGCCGCGUGAAUGAUGAAGGUCUUCGGAUUGUAAAGUUCUUUUCUAAGGGAAGAAGAAAGUGACGGUACCUUAGGAAUCAGCCUCGACUAACUACGUGCCAGCAGCCGAGGUAAUACGUAGGAAGCGUGCGUUAUCCGGAAUGAAUGGGCGUAAAGGGUGCGUUGGUGGUUUGGCAAGUUAGUAGCGUAACUCCAAGGCUCAACCUUGGAACUGUUACUAACACUGGUGGUCUUGAGUGCAGGAGAGGCAACCGGAAGUCCUAGUGUAGCGGUGGAAUGCGUAGAUAUUAGGAGGAACACCAGUGGCGAAGGCGGGUUGCUAGACUGUAACUGACACUGAGGCACGAAAGCGUGGGGAGCAAACAGGAUUAGAUACCCCGGUAGUC
rnacentral:rRNA from 1 species